GACGGAGGGUGCUAGCGUUGUUCGGAAUCACUGGGCGUAAAGGGCGCGUAGGCGGCUCAGGCAGUCGGGUGUGAAAGCCCGGGGCUCAACCCCGGAACGGCACUCGAUACUCUUGAGCUCGAGGCCGGAAGAGGAGGGUGGAAUACCCAGUGUAGAGGUGAAAUUCGUAGAUAUUGGGUGGAACACCGGUGGCGAAAGCGGCUCUCUGGUCCGGACCUGACGCUGAGGCGCGAAAGCGUGGGGAGCAAACAGG
rnacentral:misc_RNA from 1 species